rnacentral:rRNA from 1 species
GAGUUUGAUCCUGGCUCAGAUUGAACGCUGGCGGUAGGCUUAACACAUGCAAGUCGAGCGAGAAAGUAUCUUCGGAUAUGAGUAGAGCGGCGGACGGGUGAGUAACGCGUAGGAAUCUACCUAGUAGAAGGGGAUAGCCCGGGGAAACUCGGAUUAAUACCGUAUACCUCCUAAGGGAGAAAGAGGGCCUCUCUUGAAGCUCUCGCUACUAGAUGAGCCUGCGUAAGAUUAGCUUGUUGGUAAGGUAAUGGCUUACCAAGGCUACGAUCUUUAGCUGGUCUGAGAGGACGAUCAGCCACAUUGGGACUGAGACACGGCCCAGACCCCUACGGGAGGCAGCAGUGGGGAAUAUUGGACAAUGGGCGCAAGCCUGAUCCAGCCAUACCGCGUGUGUGAAGAAGGCCUUCGGGUUGUAAAGCACUUUAAGCAGGGAGAAAAAGCAAUAAGUUAAUACCUUAUUGCCGUGAUGUUACCUGCAGAAUAAGCACCGGCUAAUUCCGUGCCAGCAGCCGCGGUAAUACGGAAGGUGCAAGCGUUAAUCGGAAUUACUGGGCGUAAAGCGCGCGUAGGUGGUUUGUUAAGUUGGAUGUGAAAGCCCUGGGCUCAACCUAGGAACUGCAUCCAAAACUAACUCACUAGAGUACGAUAGAGGGAGGUAGAAUUCAUAGUGUAGCGGUGGAAUGCGUAGAUAUUAUGAAGAAUACCAGUGGCGAAGGCGGCCUCCUGGAUCUGUACUGACACUAAGGUGCGAAAGCGUGGGUAGCGAACAGGAUUAGAUACCCUGGUAGUCCACGCCCUAAACGAUGAGAACUAGCCGUUGGGGGUAUUGAAACCUUUAGUGGCGCAGCUAACGCGAUAAGUUCUCCGCCUGGGGAGUACGGUCGCAAGGUUAAAACUCAAAGGAAUUGACGGGGGCCCGCACAAGCGGUGGAGUAUGUGGUUUAAUUCGAUGCAACGCGAAGAACCUUACCAGGGUUUGACAUCCUGUGAACCUCUUGGAAACGAGAGGGUGCCUUCGGGAACGCAGUGACAGGUGGUGCAUGGCUGUCGUCAGCUCGUGUCGUGAGAUGUUGGGUUAAGUCCCGCAACGAGCGCAACCCACGUCUUUAGUUGCCAGCAUUUAGUUGGGCACUCUAGAGAGACCGCCGGUGAUAAACCGGAGGAAGGUGUGGAUGACGUCAAGUCAUCAUGCCCCUUACAUCCUGGGCUACACACGUACUACAAUGCUACGGACAAAGAGCAGCAAGUUCGCGAGGACAAGCAAAUCUCAUAAACCGUGGCUCAGUUCAGAUCGUAGGCUGCAACUCGCCUACGUGAAGGAGGAAUCGCUAGUAAUCGCAGGUCAGCAUACUGCGGUGAAUACGUUCCCGGGCCUUGUACACACCGCCCGUCACACCAUGGAAGUUGGCCACGCCCGAAGCCGUUACUCCAACCCUCGGGAGGAGGACGUCGAAGGUGGGGCUGAUGACUGGGGUGAAGUCGUAACAAGGUAGCCGUA